UGCGACCCCUCACCCCCACCCCACUUUCCCGCUUGCUGUGAGCCACCCGCACCCGCCCCUCACUGGCCCAGAACACAUUCAGGUACCUCUUGGUGGUCGCGGGAAGAUGAUCCGUGCGCCCCUAGCCUGUUACCUACACUGCUUCCGCCAACGCAUCACCACCCCUCCUAACUCCUGGGCAAACAAGUGCCUCACUCUGCCUCAGCCCAAACAGCCACCCUAAACCCAAAGGGCUGCUUGGUGGGUCCCGCCCCCAGGGCUGCACCCUCCUUUGCAGCAAACCUGCUCCUACUUACUUCCUCUUGCUCCCCACCCCACUGGGCAAGCCUCCUGGCAUUACCCUCUCUCCACUCCUCAUUCUGCCCUCCACAAUCCCCCACUUCAUCCAGCGCAGUCCUGGAGAACUGGGCAACACUCAAAGCUAGAGCACCUGGAGACCCUCUUCAGCACUGAUCCAUGGCCCAGCAAGCAAUAAGUGUCAGUGUACCUACCACAUCCAUCUGCUGUGCUGGACUCUGACAUUAGAGCUGGGGGACAUCUGUCUCUCUCCAAGGAGGCCAUGGUGGAGCAGAAGACACAUGUGGACAAGAGAAUGUGCUGCGAGCCCAGUGCAGGAUCAGACUCAAAAGACUCCAUAAACCUUCCUAACGAAUACAUGAACAUAAUGGCUGGGACGACAUGGUAUAUGAGCACUCAUAAAUACAUGACUGUAUGAGUGUUCUGCUGUGGAAAUGUCUGGACUUCCCAGUUACUGGAGAGGGAAGUGUGUUGAGGCCCCACGUAAACCAGGAUGGCCCAGAUUUUACCGUGAUGAGCAGCAGUGCACCUGAUCAUUAACUGAAGUCCCUUCCAUACUUUGCCAGAUCCCAUUAGAGAAUGGAGUGCAAGGCUGUGGCAAGGUGCGAAGGGCCUACCAAGGAGCUCCUCUACCGGGAGCUGCUCCACCAGGAGCUGCUCCAUGCCAGGCAGGACCAGCCAUCUGCGGAGGAGUGUGCCAUCACAGGCUCCCCCAGGAGAAGACCUGAGGCACACAGUCUCUCUGGAAGACAAGAGAGAUGGGGGAGGGGUUUGGGGCUGGGGACAAGUGUGUGUGGGAAGAUGAGCUGCUGGCAAGUUCCAGAUCUGGGAUGGGAGCAUGUUGGUAGCUGUACUAUACCUUUCUUAAUAAUCAUCUUAUGUCCCACGAGUGAACAUAUAUGACAAAUAAAUAAGAGGGAUGCCCACCACAUCUGGGCUUGAGCGGCCUCAGAGUCUGGCUUCUUUUCUGAGGGGAAGAAAGCCUUGAAGGGUCAUCGAGGAGCCAGAUAAGCCUGUGUGGGCAUUUGGAUAUGGGUGAGCAAUAGGAAGGAGGAGCCCAGGAAGGGCUACUUCCUUGUGCUUCUGAGUAGAAAAGACACCAGCUGGGGCCAAAGUAUAGUUAUUGACUGUGGUGCAAUCUGAACACUGCACAAGGGUGCCACUGUAGGGUAUAAUCCCCAAAGACUACCUUUCCCCCCUUUUCCCCUAUUCUUCUCACCCAGCCCUCCCAGCCUACUCAGCAUUUUGGAUAGAGGGUUUGCCUUUCCUUCCCUUUGUCUCAGGUAUGAGCUCUUUAGGAUGCUCCCCAGGGGACCGGAUAGGUGGGAUUUAUGUCACAGGAAAGAAACUUAACUGGAGGUAGUAGAGCCUUAAAUCCUUAAUGCAGGCAUGCUCACACAUGCUGAACACACAGAGGCGGGUAUGUCUGAGCAUAUACCGCGACAGAAAGUCUGACCUCAGUCCUGUCCUGGCCUGUGUCUGAAGUAACAGGCCUCCCCCUGUCGACUGCCCUGUGACCUGCAGGAGCCCAGGAGUGGACAUCCUGUAUCUUGGGAAGAGGGAAUGCUGCUGACAAGGAUCUCUUAAAAGAUGUAAUGGUUAAUAUAUUUUGUCAGUUUGAGAAGUCUAGAAGUUUAACUCAGCAUCUCUAUAUCCUAGGGUGCUCCAGGAUGUUAUUCAUUGUGUCAAUUUGAGAAGUUUAGAAGUUUAAGUGAUUCAGCAGGGGACCCUGGUCCUUAUUUUGUAAAUAUCCUAGCCUGUGCAAGAGGAGGGCAUGGAGACGGUGUGGUACCCUUUCUGGGUAGCCUACAUACAACACAAGGAAAUAAGAAAGGACUGAGUGCUGGUGUUUCAGAGGAGCUCCAGUCAGCCUUCAGCUUGGACAUUGUCUCCUGGCUUCUAGUGCAGACUGUUGCACUUCUACCUGGAACUCUUCUGCCUUUGUCAUAGACUCUUCAGCUUUCCAGUGUACAUUCUUGAGCAUUCCAUCAGACCCAUUGGCUUCCUGAUUCAGAUUCGCACGCAACACUGCAGUGACUGAGAUUACCCUGGAUGCUAAGAUCUGGCCCAUUCAUUCAUUCAUUCAGUGAUGUGCAUGGAUUGAGUGCACACUCUGCUCUGGGCUGACCUAGAAUCUGGGGAUGCAGCAACAGCACAAACAGACUACCUGCUCUCCCUUUGGAUCCUGCACCCCAGUGAGAGACACACAAUGGAUGGGGCAGUCACCAUUGGUGCUCAUUGGUGGGUGGUGGGCCUCUCCAUGGAGGGGACUUUGAGAAGAGGACUGCUGCCCUCCCAUUUCUUCACCCACUACAUGCUUCUUCUGCAAGGAACACGUCGUCAGUGCUGAGUCCCAAGCAGGGAACAAAGACCUCAGCCUUCAAGUGGGGCAGCAGCAAUACAUGAACAACAAGAGACCAGCAGCUGUAAAGGCAGGGAGAAGAGGAAAGGAAUGGAGUGUAUGGGCCAUCUAAGUAGAGAAGGGACACAGGGGACUCAGUGUUUUAAAAGGUCCCUCAGGCUGCAGCUGGAAAACACUCAGAGGGCAGAAGGCCCAAGGUGCUUCCAGACAAUGCAUGCGCCUAAUGGCUGCUGCAGGGUGGGGGCAGUGGAGAAAACAGGUGGCUAGAUUCUGGGUCAUGCUGAGGCCUUGGGGCGGACUCACUGAUGGACUGAGUAUGGAGUUUGGUGUGAAUGCCUAUGUAAGUCUCACCAGCUCUUGGUUUACCCACCUGUGAAGUGGGGUGCUAGCCUAGCUACUUGGCUCUGGGGAGAACAAACUAGUAAAAGUAUCAGGGGAGUCACCCCUUAAUCAUGCAAUGUAGAUAUGGGGUCCCCUUCUGUGCUCUGGGCUGAGGGGGACAUAGUGACUCACAAGUACAUAACAAAUGGCGACUUUUUUUUAUUAAACGUAAAAUGAGGUAUGAAUUUGGGCAUGAUAGCUGUGAUGAGUUGGUAAACUGGUGGUCAACUUGUAAUACCAGCUGAACUAAAUCAGCAUGGUGGUGAGUAUGGGAGGUCCACCUGAGGAUUGCUGCCAAGAUAAAAUCGAGAAGAGGUAGUGUUGUUGGUUCUCCGUGGUAUUAUUGGUUCUCCCGUUGCCAUUGGUUCUCCCAGAGGAGCUUGUCGAGCUUUUUUCCUGAUAUGAACUUGGUUGUUAUUAUCAUAGGAGCUCAGGACCUUGUUGCUGCUGAGGAUAGCUACAGUUCACUUUGGGGGAGCUCUGGUCCUUUACUGCUUCCUGGGUCUGGAGGGGAAGAUAGUGUGCUGUUUAGCUCGGGGAGAAACUUGUCACAAUGGCUUCCUGAUAUGAACUCAGCUGUUCUUAUCAUCAGAGGAGCAUGGGACCUCAUUGUGGCUGAGAAUGGCUGUGUUACUUUAUGUAGGAGCUCUGGUCCUUAUUUUGGGUGUUACUUCUUGACUCUGGUGCAGAACCCUCAACCUAUGGCACAGAUCCUUCAUCCUGCUGGCACAGACUUUCUAACUUCCACCACUGACCUUGGGCCUUCCCAGUAUGGAUCUGUGAGGCAGAUUUGCAUGAGAUAUUUUUGUGGGCUCUAGGACUCCAGUUGUACUCUUGGAGUGGGGAGAGCAUAUUCUUGGGCUGUAGUGCUUUAGCUGGACUCAUGUGGGAUGUUACCAUGGGAUCCAGGCCCUCAGCUGGAUUCUUUGGGUCUUAGUGUGUGGAUAGAUUUCCUGCACUCUUUCUUUUGUAUUUGACUCUUUGGACUUUAGGUGAUCAUUAUAAAAUAACACUACAAAUUUUAUGUCCAAUAUUGUCUCAUUCUCAUUGCAAACCCUGACUACAGUAGUACACAUGCCUAUAAUCCCAGCACUCCAGGAAACUGAAGUAAGAAGACCAAAAAUUCAAGACCUAUAUUAGUGACUUAAUGAGACCCUGUCUCAAAAUAAAAAGUGAGUGCUCA